GAUGAACGCUGGCGGCGUGCUUAACACAUGCAAGUCGAACGGAAAGGCCCAAGCUUGCCUGGGUACUCGAUUGCCGAACGGGUGAGUAACACGUGGGUGAUCUCCCCCGCACUUCGGGAUAAGCCUGCGAAACUGGGUCUAAUACCGGAUAGGACGAUGUUUUGGAUGCCAUUGUGGAAAGUUUUUUCGGCGUGGGAUGAGUUCGCGGCCUAUCAGCUUGUUGGUGGGGUAUUGGCAUACCAACGCUUAGAGGGGUAGCCGGCAUGAGAGCGUGGAGGGCCACAUUGGACAUGAGAUACGGGCCAGAGUCCUGAGGCUUGCGGCAGGGGGGAAUGUUGGACAAUGCACGCAAGCCUGAGGCAGGAACGCCGCGUGGUGGAUGAAGGCUGUCGGGUUGUAAAAACCUAUGGCUAGGGAAGAGGGGUUUUUGUGACGGUACCUGGAGAAGAAGCACCGGCUAACUACGUG
rnacentral:rRNA from 1 species